AGAACAGGCAUUAAAAGGGACAAAGAGGGAGAAGAAGGAUGAAGUAACACAUUGGACAUUGGAGCUUGGUAGAGAGACAGACAGAGGAAGGUAAAUAAAGGGCAUAGCAAGAGAAAAGGAGAAACAUAGCAAGAAACAGAAGGAGGUGAGGAAAGAACAGGCAUUAAAAGGGACAAAGAGGGAGAAGAAGAAGGAUGAAGUAGCACAUUGGACAUUGGAGAUUGGUAGAGAGACAGACAGAGGAAGGUAAAUAAAGGGCAUAGCAAGAGAAAAGGAGAAACAUAGCAAGAAGGAGGUGAG